rnacentral:rRNA from 1 species
CACGUAGGGGGCAAGCGUUGUCCGGAUUUAUUGGGCGUAAAGAGCUCGUAGGUGGCUGAGUAAGUCGGAUGUUAAAUCCCCAGGCUCAACCUGGGACACCACCCGAUACUGCUCUGGCUAGAGUCCGGUAGGGGAGCGUGGAAUUCCUGGUGUAGCGGUGGAAUGCGCAGAUAUCAGGAGGAACACCGGUGGCGAAGGCGGGAUCCUGGGCCAGUACUGACGCUGAGGAGCGAAGGCCAGGGGAGCAAACGGG